CGCAGGCCACAGCUAGCUUUCCCGCUCGCCCCCUUUCCGUCAGCAAUAUAGGUUGCCCCCGGACAGCCAGCCAAUCAGGAGCGCGGUAGCAUCUUGCCCUCGCUCUAAGGCAGCUAGCGGUCGGAAUUUGAGGGAGUUAGCGCUGCCGCCUAUCUCUGGCAGCAGGCGGUGGUUUAAAGAAGGUGGCGGGAAGCCGGUGUUUGGUCGAAUUCGUCACUCUCAUGGUCGCUUGGAUUUUUCACAUUCAAAAUUAACAAAGCAAAAUAAGCCAAGAUGUCUGUUGAUCCGAUGACCUAUGAGGCCCAGUUCUUUGGCUUCACACCGCAAACUUGCAUGCUUAGGAUCUACAUUGCAUUUCAAGAUUACCUGUUUGAAGUGAUGCAGGCUGUUGAACAGGUUAUUCUGAAGAAGCUGGAUGGCAUCCCAGACUGUGCGAUUAGCCCAGUCCAGAUUCGUAAGUGCACGGAAAAGUUUCUUUGCUUCAUGAAAGGACGUUUUGAUAACCUUUUUGGCAAAAUGGAGCAGCUGUUUUUACAGUUGAUUUUGCGUAUUCCCCCAAACGUCUUGCUUCCGGAAGAUAAACCUCAGGAGACGCAUCCUUAUAGUGAGGAAGAAUUCCAGCUUCUCCAAAAAGAAAUUGAACAGUUACAGGAGAAGUAUAAGACUGAAUUAUGCACUAAGCAGGCCCUUCUUGCAGAAUUAGAAGAGCAAAAAAUUGUUCAGGCCAAACUCAAACAGACAUUGUCUUUGUUUGAUGAGCUUGAAAAUGUUGGCAGAGACCACGGGACUAGUGAUUUUAGGGAGAGCUUGCUGUUCCUGGUCCAGAACUCCAGAAAACUACACAAUAUUAGAGACAAUGUGGAAAAGGAAGGCAAAAGACUGAAAAUAUCUUAAUGUCUAAAUAAUAAAAGGAGUUUGUCAGAAUGUGGAAUGAUAAGGGGUUUAUAUCAAUGACCAUUCUGAUCCUAGUGAACUGUGUACUUUGGGGGCGUCUUCUUUGUUCACUCUUUCCUGUAUUCCACGGCCUCCUCUUUUUUGGUCCACUCUCCUGAAGCAUCUAUGCACUACCUUGAACUAAUCUUGGAAGCAUCUGUGCUUAGCAGCCUCUGAUGGGUGGCAAGGGAUUCUUGGUUCAAUAACGACUCAUUUGGGGACAUGGCUGAAGAAGUAAAGCUUUCCCUGGCCAUUUAAAGAUAUUUGUAAAAGUUGUACCUUGGUCGUUAGUCCUCUGUAACCUUGAUCCUUUUGCCUUACUCUUUGGAUGAGACCAAAUGAGAAAAAGGUUAAGUGGACAUCUUCUUUAUUUUUUUUAUUAUUAUUAUUAUUUUUUGUGCUACGUGGGCCUCUCACAGCUGUGGCCUCUCCCGUUGCGGAGCACAGGCUCCGGACGCGCAGGCUCAGCGGCCAUGGCUCACGGGCCCAGCCGCUCCGUGGCAUGUGGGAUCUUCCCGGACCGGGGCACGAACCUGUGUCCCCUGCAUCGGCAGGUGGACUCUCAACCACUGCGCCACCAGGGAAGCCCGGACAUCUUCUUUAUUAACCAGCCACUGCACUGUGGGACAGCCAACACAGACUGCUUGUUCUUGCCCAGUAACUUUUCUCACACGGGGACUUUAAUAACUCGUUGAAGGAAGCAAGUAGCAGAAAAAACAGCUAUGACCUUUAGAAAGAAGAAAGAAGUUAUUUUGUUUCUAAAAUAAAUCCUUUCCAUGACCAAGGCCUUGGUGAGGUUAAAGACUUUACUGUCUUGGAGCCCAGCAAUGGAAGACAUUGGACAAAAAGGAAGCAGAUUUCACUGACAUAGAAAAGGAAGCCUGGAACAUAUCCAAUAGCAAAAUUUCUAUUAACUGACUAUAAGAUGAGACCAGACCUGAGAGACUCCACAAUCCACGUCCUUAUCCCUGUGCCACCUGCUGCCUCCGCUGAUGUGUUGAAAGGUGACGGUAAACAAGAUCAACCAAGAUUCACAUUGGACCUGCGCCUGGAGAGCUGGCUGUCAGACACUUACCAGCGCACUGUUGACUGUGUCUGUUUCGCGUGGCCUCCAGUCUUGAUGACACAGGUGACCUGGAGAAGAAGCUGGUAUCUUUUAUUGCCGAGUUGAGCAGACACCUGGCCUAAGACAUGGAGAGAUAAAAGGAAGAGACCCAGGAGGAGCUGGAAGAGGUAAGCCAGGUGUUCCGCCACAUUGGCAAGUGAGCCAGCAGCUGAGAGAUGCUGUGUGAGAGCGGCAACCCUGCCUGGAGUCUUUCUGCCUCCCAAAUCUCAUGCCUAUUUCUCUGAGGCCUCCCUGAAUGUGGAAGCAUGCAGGGAAGGGAAUUCUGAGAACUGUAGUUCCAGUUGAGCCAAGGUGAUGUAGCCCCAUACCUUUUCUGACACUAAGACAUGAUGUGAGGCUGGGGUGGGGACUUCACUGGGGGACACAGCUGUCCCUGGGCCUGGUGGGUUCCAGCACUGGCUGUCGGCAGUAUGCAGGAGGGUUCCUACACCCAUCCAACACCGGGACCAGGGUUGUGUGGAAUGGACCUGCUGUGCCAACGUUCUGCCUGUAUCAUCAAUCCAGAACCUGGGGCCGGGCCAUUCUGGGAGCCGGGCUUCUAAAAGAGUAAAUGGAAUGACUCAGAUUAAGGGGCAUCUAAACAAGUGUUUUGGGGGGCACUCCGUGUUAGUGACCGUGGUAGGCAUGACAAAGCGUGGAGGGGCUGGGAAGGAGAAACCAUGAAGAACUUCCAUCAGUGGAGAGCUCUGGGAUGAGCUGGUGCCCCCCCCGCCCCGCCCCCAUGGGCCAGCUAAGUACCAUUCAUCAGAGGAGAGGCAGGGGCUCAAAGAAGUACAUCUACACUGUGGCCUUGUGAGCAGGCGCCCUGAAUCCUCUCGAUGGGUUGGCUUCCGGGCUGCUUGUCGGCACCUGCCAACGCUUCCGUGGACCCCACCUGCUUUGCCAAGCAGGAGGGUAUCGGCUUCAGGGCUGCAAGGGCCAGGACUGCUUUUGCUUGAUUGUGAACAUAGUCAGAUGGGCCAAUGUUGGCUCCAGUGUCUAAGUCGGGGGCUGAGCUGGGAGGCUUCAGUGAAGCAUGACCUUGGCCAGCUGGUCCCCUCGCAGGGGCCAAGUCAUGAGUGGGUGAGAUGCUUCCCCAGGGAGGGGCCCCGAAAGGGCUGAAAGAGGACAGGAAGGGUUGGUUCAGCCAACCAACAUGAUCGUGUCACUUUCCUCCUCAUUGAGUGUGAAUUAGAACCCCACCCCUGGUGCUCCUUGAGCCCUGUGUCACACCUAGUGGUGAUGUAGGUAACACGGGCCCUUGCCGCUUGCCCAUGGCAGGUGUUUCUUCGCUGCCAUGGCCAUGUGGGCCAGGCAAAGCGGGGCUGCUGGAGGGGGCGCAGAGGCACUGCCUGCAGCCCGCAAAGCCCACUCCUCUGAGACCCUGCGCUCCUGCACCUGCCACUUGCCUGUGACGCAUGUCUCUGGGUGGCUCGACUUCCAACCCAUUGUAAUCCUCUUGUCCUGACCCUCACUCUGGGGCUCCAACAAUCGUGUUCUUUCCCUAAUGGGCUCUGGGCUUGGCAUUGCCUGCUCUGCACGCAGAGCUCCAGCUGAGGGUUCUGGACCAGGCUGCCAGCACUCUCAGGCCUGCUUGGCUUUGCCACUGGAGGACGGUCAUCAGAACACAAAGAUCUUCCCGACAAUCCCGGUGCUGCUGUCUGACCAAGCUGACCUUGUCAUUAGGGCAGUCAGAGACUCAUUUAUCACACAAGGGUGGGUGAGUACCCUUUAGGAAGGCACAGCUGUUUUGGGCUGCGAUCCUGUCUGCUCCCUUCCUUCCUUCCUCCUGUCACCUCCUCUUCUCCAUGAUGCAAAGAUGGUGAGAUUGGAAUGCCACAAGAUGGUACUAUGAUCAGAGGACCCAGGGACAUCAUCCCGUCCUUAAGAUUCCCAAGGUCGGGACUUCGCUGGUGUCCAGUGCUUACCACCCUGCACUCCCCAUGCAGGGGGCAGGGGUUCGAUCCCUGGUCAGGGAACUAAGAUCCCAUGUACUGCAACUAGAGAGCCUGCACAUCCCAACGAAGACCCAGCACAGCCUAAACAAAUAACUAAAGUGCAACAAUUCCAAAGGCUCGUUCAUUCACAUGCUGCUGGCCAUUGGCUGGGGGACUCAGUUCCUCUCCCUGUGGGCUAGUUUGAGCUUCCUGACAACAUGCUGACUUCUCCAGAGUGAACGUUCCCCAAACAGCACCAACUAGGUGGAAGCUCUAUCCUUCCUAUGACCCAGCCUCAGAAGUCACACGGCGUCACUUCCACUGAACUCUGUGGGUUGGAGCUGUCCCUAAACCUGAUCCGUUUCAAAGGGAGGGAAGCGUAGAUCCUUCCUGUCAGCAGGAGGUCUACUGAAGUCACAUUGCAUGAGGCGCAUGUCAGAUGAGAGACCGCUGCACUAUUUAGGAUACACCUCUGCCACAGAGGCAAACGAACCCACUUUUAAGUAGCCGAGGUUUUGGUACCCAAACCUUGAUGCAGAUUUCAGGUGAACUGGUUGCACCCCAUGGGCGGUUUUCUUUCUUCUAAGCUACUUAUGUCUGAACAGCCUCAGACCCAGGAGGGUCACACUGUUUCACUCCUUAAUUCUCAAACCCAAAUCUUAAAAUCUUAUUGCUACAAUGCAAGGAAAAGCCAACACCAGGGAGAGUGGGUCUGGAGAGUUAAGAGAAAGAGAAGAUUUCCUCUAAGUCCAAGGGCAUAAGUGUCCCAGGCUGUCCUCCCCCACCCUUCUAGUCCUGGGCAGUGGCCCUGGCCUGACUGCCCGUAUUCAUCAGGGUUCUCCAGAGAAACAGAACCAGUAGUAUAUAU